AAGCGUUAGUCCGGAUUUACUGGGUGUAAAGGGAGCGUAGACGGCACUGCAAGUCUGGAGUGAAAGCCCGGGGCUCAACCCCGGGACUGCUUUGGAAACUGUGGAACUAGAGUGCAGGAGAGGUAAGUGGAAUUCCUAGUGUAGCGGUGAAAUGCGUAGAUAUUAGGAGGAACACCAGUGGCGAAGGCGGCUUACUGGACUGUAACUGACGUUGAGGCUCGAAAGCGUGGGAAGC
rnacentral:rRNA from 1 species